CUGGAUAGAGCAACGGACUUCGAAUCCGUAGGUUGACGGUUCGACUCCGCCUAGUCGCAGCA
rnacentral:tRNA from 1 species